UACAACGAAAAGAAUUAUAAUGUUCGCUUUUUAUGUUACGCGCGCGAAAGACUAAUAAAAAUAUAAUAAAUUUUGAAAAAACCUAAAUUAAAAUACACACGAAAAUAAAAGGAGAAAUGUGUUUUCGUAUACAUACGUAAAAUCUGGAACCAAUAAUGUCGAAUGACCUUGAAUAUACACCAAAAUAAUUUAAUCGACGCCAACGCAAAUCUUCUGGAUCUGGUGUUGGUGGAGCGGUGACACAUUCUAAGCUUAGUUGAAGAGCUCUUCGUAAAUCAUCGUCUUCGUCUGUGUCAUCAGUUAUGUUUAAUGUAUGAGUUGCUUUAUUAUCAUUGUGAAGAUCUAAUCUCAAUUUAACAGAUUCAUCAAUAUCAUCCUUCUUAGUAUUUUCUAAACUUAA